UUGUUCUGGAAUUAUGUGUUUACAUUAUCAUAGGUGGAUGUUCUUGAUCUUUUUUUAAAAGGUUUUCUCUACUUUAAUUCACAACUACAAUUUUGCCAUUUGCACAGAGCACUAAUGCAUGAGCCAAAAAUAUUUCACUUCUUGACUGGUUAUUUAUUUUAUUUUUUUAUCUGUAUUUCCAAAAAACUAUUCUUUAUAAAUCAAGCUUGGGUGAUUGUUGUCCUGAUAUUUUUUCUUUUUUCUGCUUAAUUUAGUUCCCAAAAAGGAAAGGACAGGUUUAUUCCUUUCCUUUAGGUGUGGAGUUUGCAUGUUCUCCAUGUGCAUGCCUGACUUUUCUCCAGGCACUCAGGUUUCCUCCCACAGACCAAAAAACCUGCUUCAAAGGUUAAUUGGUAAUUCUGGAAGUGCCCCUCGGGUGUGAAUGUGAGUAUGUGUGGCUGUCUGUUUUUGUUGCCCUGGUGAACCAUCCAGGGUAUAUCCCAGCUUCACCCAACUGAGGCUGGGAUAGGCUCAAGCAACCCCAUGGCCCAGAUAUUUAUGACGUUUUAAAAAUGAAUGGGAAGGACAACAGGAAUCAAGGUCUUAGAGUUUUUUUCUGCUGUUCUGUCUGAAGCCAUCUUUACAUGGUGAUACCUUUUGACUGGUAAUAGUUAAACAAACAGAACUAUGAUGAAAAUGUUCACAAUAGCCGCACUUUAUUGAUGGUUUUUAUUACAGAAAUAUUGUUUGAGAACUUUUCAGUAGUCUCUUCACUCACCAUUUGUUUUUAAUGAUGUUUUUGAAGACGUAAUAAAAAAAAUCAGAAUAUCUUGUUGGACAUAUAAAGGAUGCUAUGUUUAUCCACAUUAUUUCUGUCAUGAAUUCGAAAAAGCUUGUAUAUAUUUUUGCUCCAUGUAUUCUGUGGAACAGAGAAAGCAUUUUGUGUCAAACUACAGUACAGUAGAUGUCUAAAAAAAAAGGGUGUUUACAGUGAAAUUGAAGUUGUUGUUUUUUUUGUUUUUUUUAAUAAAUAAUCAUAUUUUUAUUUUGUCUUUUUUUUCUUUCUCAAAAAUCUAUGACCAAAGAGACACAAUUACACAGCUGAAGGGUUUUGGAGUUACCUGUGAGAGAUUGUAAUGUCAGCUGUGUGGUGGUCUACAGGUAUUUUUGGAAAGGUUAAUGCUAUUAAGAAGACAUUUUGUCUUUAUGAACAUUUUUAAAGGCGAUCCACCGAACUGAUAAAAAAUCUAUCAUUGCCUGAGAAAACCACCUCACUGCAGCCCCUCCUCUCCUCCCCCUGUCCUUAUCUUCCUGCAGGUAUAGAAAAGCCUCUUGCAGGCUCAGUCCUCCGUGUACUCCUCCAUGUUCUUCAGGACUUAUUAGUUUUAAUGAGAAAAGCUUUCCUUUGGGGCGCUAAUUUCAGCUGCUGUCUGAUGAGCAGAAAUUACAUGUCUAAUGGAAUGGAAUAGUUGGGCAAAUUAAAGAAAUGAAACAUGCUUUUUUCAUGCCUUCGCCGCAUUAAAUUACACUUUCAUGUGGACCACACUCAGAACGAAGAAAACUUUGCUUUUUUUUGCCAUCGCCUUAAUUGGCUGUGGGUUUUAUAUUUUGUUUUUUUUUCUAUUAUUAACUUCACUGACUGCAAUGUUAAGGAAGAUUCCUCAAUUUAUGAUAAGUGCCUGCAACAGUAGGACAGAAAGAAAGAAAUAUAUACAUACACUGAUCAUGUAAUAAUCUGUUUCCCGUGUAGAGCUUCACUUAUAAUAAAGAAAAUCAUAUUUCUGCCCUUGGAGAAACAAUUUAGAGGCAGAUUCAGCCAGCUUGAGCUAAAUGGUUCUUCUUUAUUGUAAAGAUUUUACCACUGAGGGCUCUGCAAGCACAAGCAUCAUUUUCUGCCUGUGGCAAAAGUAUCAGGUAACUUUUCCUCCUACUUAGUGAAUAAACUUAAAUCUAUUAUCAGAACAACUUUUCUGCUAUAAGGGCACAUCUGUCAGUGCAACUAUAUCUAUAUAUAAGUUGUUUUAUUCACCUUGUCCAGCUUUCAAGGUCAGUAGGGGGGAAAGAUGACGGUCGCCAACUCGGCCAAUUAUUUUUUUUCAUGUUCAUAUUGCAGCUGGAUCAUUGUGCAACAGUCACACUUGAGGGUGCUGCCUCGUGGUCCUCUAAUGGUCUGCCGUGCACUUGCACGUUGGUCACAAGAAGAGAAACUGACCCACACAGAGCAUGGCUGAUUGAUUUUUUUUCCCCUUUGGCUGUUGGAUGAAGGAAAAAGCAAAUAAGAGGAGUGGAAUGUUUGCUUUGCCUCCCACAUGUGAGCCAAUCUCAAAAUGUCUUUAAAAAAAAAAAGAAGGGGAGAAAAAUGGCAAAGGAGAAGAAAAGAUGCAGCUGGCAGCAUUAAAAUUAAACACAAACUGCACUUGAGGGAAGAUAAGAGCUUAUGGAUAAAGCUCCAGGAAACAGACAUGUGUAAGUGUGUGAGUGUGUUUGUAACUGACGUGUCAAGGGAGCAAACUUCAAAGGUUAUCCAACAUUUUUUAAGGUCUGGGCAACAAAAAGAGAAAAACUCUUGAAACUAUAAAAAAAAAAAUGUAAUCUAUCCUGAAAUAAACUGAUAUCAGUGGCAGAGUUACAGGGCGGCAAAGGGGAGGCAGCUGCCACCCCAGCAAAAAUCUUUGCCACCCCAAUUUUUGAGUCAACAGAGACAUUUUUGCCUCAAGCUGGUUUCUCUCAAACUGCCCCAAAAUACCAUCUGUACUUCUCCACUCCUGGUCAAUUUAUUUCAAUAUUUACCUAUGAACCUUUUUUUUUUUAGCAUCAGUAGGAGGGGUAAGAGCCGGAGCACCAUCCCGUUUUUGGGUACAGAGUUCAUCUUGUGCUGGAUCACCUUUUAUGGCUGACGAUCUUGCCAAAAUGUAGCAUCACGUGGACCGCGGCACAGCGUUCCACCUGAGGACAGUGAGGACAGAUGUCUCCUUGGCCAUGGGGAACGUGAUGAAGAAUUGCCUCCUGGAGUAGCAGUGCUGAGGGGGCUACUGGUCGCUACGGGUGUGGCUGAGGUUCUGCUCCUGGAGCUGUGCUGUGAGGACUGGCAAAGGAGGAGCUCAAGUCUUCACAGCCUUUAAAUACUCCAGCCAGGCAAUUAGGAAGGCACCAUCUACUGAAGCCUCCAGGGGAGAAACUAAUGGACUUAUUUAAUGUUUAUUUGCUUUGCUUCUGUUGUUCAUUAUUCAUUUUGUUCCACUUUUGAUGAUUUUUCUCUUCCACUAAGAGACCAAGUUUUGUGUUUAGUCUUGUCUUUAGUCUUUGUUAAAUGUUUGUCUAUUCAUGUUAGUU